rnacentral:lncRNA from 1 species
GGCUCUAUAAUAAACAAUGUUUGGAAAGAACACUACCAACUUCGUAUACAAAGGUGUUUGAUAGUUUCGGUACAAGUUUACAAAAGACUACAUCUGAUGUAUUCAAGGGAUACAAGAAAAAAGAUCAAUCCCCUGUUACGGUCGCAGACAUCACCACUAUUGAAAGGGGAUGCUUACAGCGCGCACAUUUGANCAGCAGCAGCAGCAGCAGCAGCAGCAGCAGCAACUUCAGCAGCAGCCACAGUUACUUCCGCAGCAGCAGCAGCAGCAGCAGCAGCCGCCGCAGCAGCAGCAAAUGGUUGGCCCCGGAAUGGGCCAGAGCUUCAUGCAAGGGCAUAGCAGGUCUCAGAUGAUGCCCCAAGGCAAAGUGCCCUCGCAAGGGCCGCCGACUAACAUGCCCGGCGGAGGUUUCCUUCCUUAAAAUACUAUAAUCCAUUUUCAAUCAAACUUAUCUAGUCUUAAAAGAGUGCAUGUAUAUAAAUAAAGAUACUUGGUAUGGUGUGACAAACAGUGUCCUAAGUUAUUUAAGUUUGUUGGUCGUCAUCGUAAUUCGGUCUUUCAGACUCUUUGUAUGUUUUGUUAGCUUAAUCUAUUUUGAAACUUUUGUCUACCAUAAUCUUAAGCAUAAUCUUUCGAAGGAGAAAAGGGAUGGAGCUCUACAUAGUUUUUGAGUUUUGAAAUCUUAUGUUGUCAUUUUAUCAACCAAUGAUCGGCUACUAAUUAGUCGACAUUGAUUACAUGGUUCACUGGAACCCUACAUCUGGGCAACAAGGGUUCAAGGGAUGCUAACAAACUGCAAACUUGACCUCCGAAUUUCCGUCUUUCAUCAAAAUAGACAUACACCAGAAAGUCAUUUUCAGGAAGACCUGAGAUUCUCUUGAAUCGACUGAAACAAACAUCCCAACUACUGUAUCAUGCAUUUUCAGCCACCAGAUCUACCAUUUUAGAAAAUUAAAUUGGCUAACUAUUCACAUAUUACUAUUACUAGGCCUAAUCUGGAAUUGUAUUUUUGAACGCAUCUGUUUUUAUACUUUUUAGUGAUCAGAACAAUUUAAAAAUGCUACCGAUCUUUUUUCCGCGAGUGCUAUAAAAAUUGGAUUGGCAAUUGCCCACAAGGGAAAAUUGAAAGUGCUUUUGAAAUUUUUGGCUUUCCAAAACGUAAAAAUAGAUGCUUUUAACAAGUUUCUCAUGGAAAAUUUCUCGUCAAAUUUUUCGCCAGUUUGGUUCAUAAAAAAAAAGCUAGUAUUUCUGAAAACUUCUUUGUUUUAUAUUUCAUGAAAAACUAGUUUUUUCGUUUUCCAGAUUUGAGUUUUUUUUAAGAACCAAACGGAAGAAAAGUGAAGACGACGACUUCUCAUGGAAUUUUUUUUUUCCGCAAAAAAAAUUUCCUCAGCCCCUAAACAAUAAAACACUCGACUGACGUACACUCAAAACACAAUCAAGUAUUGAUUCGGCUCUAUAAUAAACAAUGUUUGAAAAGAACACUAACAACUUCGUAUACAAAGGUGUUUGAUAGUUUCGGUACAAGUUUACAAAAGACUACAUCUGAUGACUGAUAUAUUCAAGGGAUACAAGAAAAAAGAUCAAUCCCCUGUUACGGUCGCAGACAUCACCACUAUUGAAAGGGGAUGCUUACAGCGCGCACAUUUGACGACCCAGAUCUUUUACAACAGCUCGGUACAUCCUAUACCGAUAAAA